rnacentral:rRNA from 1 species
GACGAACGCUGGCGGCGUGCUUAACACAUGCAAGUCGAACGGGAACCUUUAUUUCGGUAAAGGUGAGAGUGGCAAACGGGUGAGUAACACGUAGGCAACCUGCCGACAGGAUGGGGACAACAUUCCGAAAGGAAUGCUAAUACCGAAUGAAGUCACCGGAGGGCAUCCUCUGGUGAUAAAAGAUGGCCUCUGAAUAUGCUAUCGCCUGUCGAUGGGCCUGCGUCUGAUUAGCCAGUUGGCGGGGUAACGGCCCACCAAAGCGACGAUCAGUAGCCGGUCUGAGAGGAUGAACGGCCACAUUGGGACUGAGACACGGCCCAGACUCCUACGGGAGGCAGCAGUGGGGAAUCUUCCACAAUGGGCGAAAGCCCGAUGGAGCAACGCCGCGUGAGUGAAGAAGGUCUUCGGAUCGUAAAGCUCUGUUGCACGGGACGAAAACCGAGCUUGAGAAUAUUGAG